rnacentral:rRNA from 1 species
UUGAACGCUGGCGGCAGGCCUAACACAUGCAAGUCGCACGGUAACAGGAAGAAGCUUGCUUCUUUGCUGACGAGUGGCGGACGGGUGAGUAAUGUCUGGGAAACUGCCUGAUGGAGGGGGAUAACUACUGGAAGCGGUAGCUAAUACCGCAUAACGUCGCAAGACCAAAGAGGGGGACCUUCGGGCCUCUUGCCAUCGGAUGUGCCCAGAUGGGAUUAGCUAGUAGGUGGGGUAACGGCUCACCUAGGCGACGAUCCCUAGCUGGUCUGAGAGGAUGACCAGCCACACUGGAACUGAGACACGGUCCAGACUCCUACGGGAGGCAGCAGUGGGGAAUAUUGCACAAUGGGCGCAAGCCUGAUGCAGCCAUGCCGCGUGUAUGAAGAAGGCCUUCGGGUUGUAAAGUACUUUCAGCGGGGAGGAAGGGAGUAAAGUUAAUACCUUUGCUCAUUGACGUUACCCGCAGAAGAAGCACCGGCUAACUCCGUG